rnacentral:rRNA from 1 species
UACGAAGGGGGCUAGCGUUGUUCGGAAUUACUGGGCGUAAAGCGCACGUAGGCGGAUCGAUCAGUCAGGGGUGAAAUCCCACGGCUCACCCGUGGAACUGCCCGGCAUACUGCGAUGCUCGAGUGUGGUAGGGGAGAGCGGAACUCCUGGUGGAGCGGUGAAAUGCGUAGAUAUCAGGAGGAACACCGGUGGCGAAGGCGGCUCUCUGGUCCACAACUGACGCUGAGGAGCGAAAGCUAGGGGAGCAAACGGG